rnacentral:lncRNA from 1 species
GGACUCUUGAUUUUACAAAUUCAUUCGGAUCCCAAAAAAGUUCAUAAAUGGAAAUGGCAUUAAUUAGAGUUGUCACCUCCUUUGAACAAAAUUACCUGAUAUCCUUAAAAUAAAUACCAGAUGUUACUGGACAUUAAAUACACUUUGAUUCAAAAUUAUAAUAUUGACACAGAAGAUAAUUUGACAUUGUUUACAGAACAAUUUAUACUUAAUUCUAUUUAUAAAAUCAAUAGAAAAACAGCAGUUACUAAUGCACCAACAGGCAUAUAAAGCAAAGCAACUGAGAGGAAAUGGGAAAUGUAAAAUGAGAGGAACCAAGUCAUUGAGAACAAACACAAGGCACAACAGUCUUCAUCAAUGCAAGUGUUGCCAAAAUCUUUUAAUUAAUAACAGGUUGAUAAACUGCUACAAUUGCAUACAUUGCAAAACCCAGCCAAAGUUGUACAGUCAAUAGGGGGGGAUUGAGAUAUGCAAAAUAUCUGUAAUGAACUAGGGGUCAACUCCCUCAGGAACUGUCAAAAGUUAAUGAGAUACAUACAUGGCUAGGUAGCAUAGUAGCAGAACACAGGAACAAGAUGUCUCACUGCAUAUUAUAGCAAAGCAAAGUACAGUGUGAAACCUUUGGUCAAACUAUGCACUGUAAAACUGUCAGCCUCUAUAUCUCAUUAACCUUUGGUCUUUGACCCCUAGUUCAUUAGGGAUAUUCUGCAUGUCUCAACCAUCUCUAUUGAUCAGUACCACUAUUGCUGGGUUUUGCAAUGUAUGCAACUGUACUGACAAACCUAUAUUUUC